GGGAUGGACUCGCGGCCUAUCAGCUUGUUGGUGAGGUAACGGCUCACCAAGGCGACGACGGGUAGCCGGCCUGAGAGGGUGACCGGCCACACUGGGACUGAGACACGGCCCAGACUCCUACGGGAGGCAGCAGUGGGGAAUAUUGGACAAUGGGCGCAAGCCUGAUCCAGCAACGCCGCGUGAGGGAUGACGGCCUUCGGGUUGUAAACCUCUUUCAGCAGGGACGAAGCGAGAGUGACGGUACCUGCAGAAGAAGGACCGGCCAACUACGUGCCAGCAGCCGCGGUAAUACGUAGGGUCCGAGCGUUGUCCGGAAUUAUUGGGCGUAAAGGGCUCGUAGGCGGUUUGUCGCGUCGGGAGUGAAAACUCAGGGCUCAACCCUGAGCGUGCUUCCGAUACGGGCAAACUAGAGGUAUGCAGGGGAGAAUGGAAUUCCUGGUGUAGCGGUGGAAUGCGCAGAUAUCAGGAGGAACACCGGUGGCGAAGGCGGUUCUCUGGGCAUUACCUGACGCUGAGGAGCGAAAGCAUGGGGAGCGAACAGGAUUAGAUACCCUGGUAGUCCAUGCCGUAAACGUUGGGCGCUAGGUGUGGGGACCUUCCACGGUUUCCGUGCCGCAGCUAACGCAUUAAGCGCCCCGCC
rnacentral:rRNA from 1 species